GACAGAGGUGCCGAGCGUUAGGCGGAAUCACUGGGCUUAAAGCGUGUGUAGGCGGAUCGUUAAGUACCUUGUGAAAUCCCACGGCUUAACCGUGGAACUGCUGGGUAUACUGGCGAUCUUGAGGUGCUCAGGGGCGAGCGGAACAGAUGGUGGAGCGGUGAAAUGCGUAGAUAUCAGGAGGAACACCGGUGGCGAAGGCGGGUCUCUGGGCAACUACUGACGCUGAGGAGCGAAAGCGUGGGGAGCGAACAGG
rnacentral:rRNA from 1 species